AGCGAACGCUGGCGGCAGGCCUAACACAUGCAAGUCGAACGAACUCUUCGGAGUUAGUGGCGGACGGGUGAGUAACACGUGGUAACGUGCCUUUUGGUUCGGAAUAACUCAGGGAAACUUGUGCUAAUACCGAAUGUGCCCUUCGGGGGAAAGAGUUAUCGCCAUUAGCGCGGCGCGCGUCUGAUUAGCUAGUUGGUGAGGGAACGGCACACCAAGGCGACGAUCAGUGGCUGGUCUGGGAGGAUGGCAAGCCCCACUGGGAAUGCGGCCCGGGCCAGACUGCUACGGGACGCAGCAGUGGGGAAUCUUGCGCAAUGGGCGCAAGUGUGACGAAGCCAUGCGGCGUGAAUGAUGAAGGUCUUAGGAUUGUACAAUUCUUUCUCCGGGGACGAUAAUGACGGUACCCGGAGAAGAAGCCCCGGCUAACUUCGUG
rnacentral:rRNA from 1 species